AACCUAGCACACCUGCGGUGUGUACCUGCGGAGGGAUCAUUACCGAAGUUACUCUUCAUACCCUUAUGUGAACCCUACCCCUCGCCGCGCGGUUGCCUCGGCGGGAGGUCGCGGAGCCCCGGCCCCGCGGCCCCCGCCGGCCGCGCCCAACUCUUCUUCUGCAAAGCGGACUGCAAGUUCUGAUUACAUCUUGAAAAACAAGUCAAAACUUUCAACAACGGAUCUCAGAUCGGAAGAGCA
rnacentral:misc_RNA from 1 species